AAUGGACGCUGGCGGCAGGCCUAACACAUGCAAGUCGAGCGAAAUCUUCGGACUUAGCGGCGGACGGGUGAGUAACGCGUGGGAACAUGCCCUUUGGUGCGGAAUAGCCCCGGGAAACUGGGAGUAAUACCGCAUGGGCCCUUCGGGGGAAAGAUUUAUCGCGAAAGGAUGGGCGCGCGUUGGUUUCGGUGGUUGGUGGGGUAAUGGCAUACCAAGCCGACGAUGCAUAGCUGGUGGGAGAGGAUGAUCCGCCAGGCUGGGACUGCGACACGGCCCAGACUCGGAGGGGAGGCUGCAGUGGGGAGUACUAUGCGAGGGGGCCAAGCGUGAUAACGCCACGUGGCGGAAUCGAUGCAGGGCUUAGGGUUGUAAAGAUGUUUCAGACGGGAAGAGAAUGACGGUACCCACAGAAGAAGCCCCGGCUAACUACGUG
rnacentral:rRNA from 1 species